GGGGAGGGUUGGGAUCCCGCAAAAUUAUUUAUGUACUAUGUGCCUGUCCCAAGUCAGGAGCCUGUAAUUCAGUGGUUGUCGUUGGUUUAUGUGUUACUUAUUUGUUUUUCGUUCAUUUUUUACAUAAAUAAGGCCGUUAGUUUUCUCGUUUGAAUUGUUUUACAUUGUCUUAUCGGGGCCUUUUAUAGCUGACUAGGCGGUUUGGGCUUUGCUCAUUGUUGAAGGCCGUACGGUAACCUAUAGUUGUUAAUGUCUGUGUCAU
rnacentral:lncRNA from 1 species